CCUACGGGUGGCAGCAGUCGAGAAUCAUUCACAAUGGGGGAAACCCUGAUGGUGCGACGCCGCGUGGGGGAAUGAAGGUCUUCGGAUUGUAAACCCCUGUCAUGUGGGAGCAAAUUAAAAAGAUAGUACCCCAAGAGGAAGAGACGGCUAACUCUGUGCCAGCAGCCGCGGUAAUACAGAGGGCUCAAGCGUUGUUCGGAAUCACUGGGCGUAAAGCGUGCGUAGGCUGUUUCGUAAGUCGUGUGUGAAAGGCGCGGGCUCAACCCGCGGACGGCACAUGAUACUGCGAGACUAGAGUAAUGGAGAGGGAACCGGAAUUCGCGGUGUAGCAGUGAAAUGCGUAGAUAUCGAGAAGAACACUCGUGGCGAAGGCGGGUUCCUGGACAUUAACUGACGCUGAGGCACGAAGGCCAGGGGAGCGAAAGGGAUUAGAUACCCGUGUAGUC
rnacentral:rRNA from 1 species